rnacentral:rRNA from 1 species
AUUGAACGCUGGCGGCAUGCUUUACACAUGCAAGUCGAACGGUAACAGGCCGCAUGGUGCUGACGAGUGGCGAACGGGUGAGUAAUGCAUCGGAACGUGCCCAGUCGUGGGGGAUAACGCAGCGAAAGCUGCGCUAAUACCGCAUACGAUCUAUGGAUGAAAGCGGGGGACCGUAAGGCCUCGCGCGAUUGGAGCGGCCGAUGUCAGAUUAGGUAGUUGGUGGGGUAAAGGCUCACCAAGCCAACGAUCUGUAGCUGGUCUGAGAGGACGACCAGCCACACUGGGGCUGAGACACGGCCCAGACGCCUACGGGAGGCAGCAGUGGGGAAUUUUGGACAAUGGGCGCAAGCCUGAUCCAGCAAUGCCGCGUGCAGGAAGAAGGCCUUCGGGUUGUAAACUGCUUUUGUACGGAACGAAAAGGCUCUGGAUAAUACCUGGGGCUCAUGACGGUACCGUAAGAAUAAGCACCGGCUAACUACGUGCCAGCAGCCGCCGUAACAC